CUGUUUCCAUUUAUGAUUUAAUAUGUACAAAAUUCCACAGAAUGUACAAAUAAGCUCCUAGAAAUUAAAAGUGAAUUAGCACAGUCACACACAGAAUAUAAAGUUAAUACACAAAUAUCAAUCAUAUUUCUGUAUACUAACAUUGAACAAUUGGAAAUCAGUAGUUUAAAAAAAAUAAAAUUACUAUUAACAAUAGCAUUUGUUAUUAGAGCAAUGCUUAGAAAUCAAACUCAGAAAUACUCAGAAAUAAAUCUAACAAAACGUGUGCAGAACCUGUAUGCUGAAAAUUUUACAACAGUCAUGGAAAAAAAUCAAAGAAGACAAAUAAACAGAGAGAUAUACCAUGUUCACGGAUCAGAAAACAUAAUAUUGUGAAGCUAUCAAUUGCCACCAAACUGAUAUAUAGAUUAAAUGCAAUUCAAAUCAAGAUCCCAGCAAGAUAUUUUUAAAAUAUAAAUAAGCUGAUUUUUAAAGUUAUAUGCAAAGCCAAAGAAACCAGAAUAGUUAAAAUAAUUUUGAAAAAUAAUGAUAAAGUUGGAAGAUUCACAUUACUCAAAUUCAAGACUUACUAUAAAGCUACAGUAUUGUAUUGGCAAAAGGAUAGACACAUAGAUAAAUGGAACAGAAUAGAAAUCUAGGAAUCCACAAAUAUGGCCAACUGAUUUUUUACAAAGAUGCAAAGAUAAUUUAAUGGAGAAAAAAGAGUCUUUUGAGAAAUGAUAUUAAAACAAUUGGAUGGGAUGACAAUAUGCAGAGAGAGAGGAAGAAAGGAAUGAAGACAAAAGGAAGAAGGGGAGAGAAGGUGAAAGGGAAAAGAGAAGAAAAAAGAAAUAAACCUCACAAAAGAAAAAUAAUGAAAGUAAUUAUAUACUUUUGAGAUGCAAUAAUGAAUGAAGAAUUAAAAAGUGAGCUAAAAUAAUUGUGGAAUGCAAUAAUAAUAUGAAUUAUAAUACAAUCCCAUAAAAUGUACAAGUUGGAAGGGGAUAAGUGGAGUUUAAAAGUGUUUUUAAGGUCUAUAUAUAUAGGUAUUAAUUAUAGACAUCGAUAUAUUAAUGCAUAUGUUGUCUUUGAGUAACUGCUAAAAACAUAAGAAAAUAAUUUAUAGUUUCCAAAAUGACAGAGAAAAACAACAGAAUGAUUAAAAAAUUGAUCUAUUCAAAAGAAAGUCUAGUCGCAGUGGCUCACGCCUGUAAUCCCAGCACACUGGAAAGCCGAGAUGGGCAGAUUGCUUGAGCCCAGGAGUUUCAGACCAGUCUGGGUCUCAAACCACAUGUCUACAAAAAGUAAAAAAAUUAGCCAGGCAUUUUGGCACAUCCCUGUAGUCCUAGCUACUUGGGAGGCUGAGGUGGGAAGAUGGCUUGAACACAGGAGGUUGAGGCUACAGUGUGCUGCGAUCAUGCCAGUGCACUUCAGCCUGGGUGAAGGAGCGACACCUUGUCUCAAAGAGAAAAAAAAAAACAACUCCAAACCAAAACCAAAAACAACACAAAAGAAAGCCACAAAGAAAAGGAGAAAAAUAGGUGAGACAAAUAGAAAAUGUAACUGAUCACAUAUUGCUACAUAACAAAUUAUCCCCAAUUCAGCAGCUGAAAAGUACAGAUUGGAUUUUUAGAAAGCAGAAUAUAUCUAUAAUUUGUUUACAAGAUAGAUAUGUGAAUGAUCAUGAAUAAGUAUUUACCUAUACAUUAUUAUUUUCAAAGUUAAAAUUGAAAGGUGUGUACAUGUGUAUUCUUGUAUUUUGUUGAUUUUCCUAAUUAACCUAUGUCAUGAGCAUUUCUCAUGCCAAGGAUAUUUUACAUCCUUGAAAUAGACAGGCAUGGUGCCUCAUGCCUAUAAUCCCUCGUGAGGCAGGAGGAUCUCUUGAGGCCAGUAGUUCAAGACCAGCCUGGGCAACAAAGCAAGACUCCCAUCUCUACAAAAAAUUUAAAGAUGAGUCAGGCACAGUGGGAAGUGCCUGUCGUCUCCAUUACUUCGGAGGCGGAGGCAGGAGAAUUGUUUGAGCCAGGAGUUAGAAGGCUGCAGUGAGCUAUGAUGGUGCCACUGCACUCCAGACUGAGCAACAGAGUGAGACCUUGAGACCUUGUCUCUAAAAAUUAAAAAAGAAAUAUCCUUAAAACAAAACAAAAACAAGAAAGAAACCUUGAUUCAUACCUUACAUCAUAUACAAAAAUUAACUCCAAAUGGAUCAUAGAUCUAAACGUAAAAUGUAAAACUUUAAAACUCCUAGAAAAAACAUGGGAGAAAAUCCCUGCUACCUUGGGUUAUGCAAAAUGUUCUUAAAUAUAACACCAAAAGAAAAUUGAGAAUAAAUUGGACUUCAUAAAAAUUUAAUACAUUUUUGCUAUAUAAAAGAUAGUUAAAUGAAUGAAAAGACAGGCCACCAAUUGAGAGAAAAUAUUUGCAAAUCAUAUAUUUGAUAAUGGACAUGUAUCCAGAAAAUAUGGAGAAUUCUUAAAACUCAACAUUGAGAAAACAAACAACCCAGUAAAAAGAUGAGCAAAAGAUCUUAAUCAAAGAUAUAUACAUGGCAAAUAAUCACUUGAAAAGAUGCUCAACAUCAUUAGUCACUUGAGAAAUGUAAAUUAAAACCACAAUGAGUGGGGGAAGGGAAGGAGAGGGAGAGAUUUGUUAAAGGAUACAAAAUUACAACUAGAUAAGAGGAAUAAGUUCUAGUGUUCAAUACCACUGUAGGAUGACUAUAGUUAACAAUAAUAUAUAGUUUCAAAUAGCUAGAAGGAGAAUAUUGUACGUUCCCAAUACAAAGAAAUGAUGUUCGAGAUGAUGAUAUGCUAAUUACCCUGAUCUGAUCACUACACAUUAUACAUAUCAAAGCAUUACUAUGUACUCCAUGAAAACGUAUAAUUAUUAUUUGUCAAUUCAAAAAUAAAAUUUUAAUUUAGUUUGUUGAGGCAGGGUCUUGCUCUUUCACCCAGGCUGGAGUGUACUAGCACCAUCACAGCACACUGCAGCCUCAACCUCCCAGGCUCAAACAAUCCUCCCAUCUCAGCCUUCUGAGUAGCUGGGACCACAGACACACACCACCACAUCCAGCUAGUUUUUUUAAUUUUGGAGAGACAGAGUUUUGCCAUGUUGCCCAGGGUGGUCUCAAAUUUCCUGAGUGCAAUUGAUCCACCUGCCUCAGACUUCUAAAGUGCUGGGAUUACAGAUGUGAGCCAUUGCAUCCAGCCAAUUUAAAUUUUUUUAAUUAAAAAAUGUGGUAUUUAAAAAGCCCACAAUUAGAUACCACCACAUCCUGUUCAAAUAGCUAAAAUUUUUAAAAAAGAAACUGACAAUGGCAAGUGUUGACGAGAAUGAGGAGUAACUGAGAGUCCCAUACAUUGCUGGUGGAAAUGCAAAAUGGUGUGGCUAUUCUAGAAAAUAGUUUGGCAGUUUCUUAUAAAGUUAAACAUAUGCUUACCAUAAGAUCCAGCAAUCCCACUCCUAGUUAUUUAUCCAAGUGAAAUAAAAACCUACAAAAAUCUGUAUGUAAAUGUUUAUAGCAGCUUUAUUCAUAAUUGCCAAAAUGGAAACCCAAAUGUCCUUUAAUUGAGGAACAAAUAUACUUUAGUAUAUCCAUACAAUUGAAUACUACUCAGCAAUUUUAAAAAGGAACUAUGAUACACAGAAAAACAACAUGGAUGAAUCUCAAAAUAAUUAUGCUGAGUGAAAAAAAAACCAAAGCCCCAAAGAAUUACCUACUGUACAAUUUCAUUUCUAUAGGAAUCUGGAAAAGUGGACAUGGUGGCAGGGAUGGAAGGUAUUCAGGUGCUCAGCAACAUGGACUUCCACUCACUAAGGCCAGUCUGAGUACAGCCACUGCUGAGUGCCCAAUCUGCCAAUCUGCCAGCAGCAGACACCAAUACUGAGCUGCAGCAACAUUCCCUGGGGUGAUCAGCCAGCCACCUUGUGGCAGGUUGAUUGGACUCCUUCCAUCAUGAAAGGGCAACACUUUGUUCUUACUGGAACAGACAGUCUAGAUUUGGAUUUACUUUCCCUGCAUUUAAUGCUCUGCCAAAACUAUCAUCUAUGGACUUCCAGAAUGCCUUAUCCACCACCACUUUUUCCACACAGCAGUGCUUUUGAUGAAUAAACUCAUUUCACAGCAAGUGAAGUACAGCAAUGGGCCCGUGCUCAUGGCUUACCAUGUUCUCCAUCAUACCGAAGCAGCUGGCUUGAUAGAAAGGCGGAAUGGCCUUUUGAAGAUCUAGUUACAGUGCCAGCUCGGUCGCAACACCUUGCAGGGUUGAGACAAUGUCCUUCAGGAGACCAUAUAUACUCCAACUCAGCAUCCCACAUAUGGUACUAUUUGUCGCAUAGCUAGGAUUCAUGGUUCCAGGGAUCAGUAGCAGAAAUGAAACGGCACCCACAACUCACUAUUACCCCUAGUGGUCCACUGGUAAAUCUUUGCUUCCCAUCCCUGUGGCUUUAUGCUUUGCUGAUCUGGAGGUCUUCAUUCCAAAGGGAGGAAUGCUUUCACCAGGAGUCACAAUUAUUUCACUGAACUGGAAGUUAAGACUGCCAUGGGUCAUUUUGCAAUGAAGAAUUACUCCACUGGCUAGGGUGAUUCCUCCUGACUACCAAAGGGAAAUUAGGCUGCUACUAAACAAUGAAAGGAAGAAAAGUUAUGUCUGGAAUACGAGAGAUCCCUUAGGUCAUCUCGUAGUACUACCAUGCCCUAUGGUGAUUAAAACCAGUGGAAAACUAUAAUAAACCAAUGCAGGUAAGACUUCUAAUUUCCCAGACCCUUCAGGAAUGAAAGUUUGGGGCCCUCCCACCAGGCAAAGAACCACAACCAGCUCUGAGUUUCAUGAGGAAGGCAAAGAAAAUAUGGAAUAAGUCGUGAAGGAAAGUAGUUACACAUAAUAUUAUUAAAGUUACUGGAUUAUCAAGGAUAAAAGUGAACACCAGUCAAGGACUGUGAAUUCUCUCCCAGGAAAAGAGCAUAUUUUCAGUUGUACACAGAUUAGCUGUGUCAUGAUAGGCAGAAGUUUUACUUUGUUAUUGUCUUUAUUGGGAGAUUAAAUGGUUUAAGGAAAUGUGUACAGGUGCCAAGUUAACAAGACAUGGACUGUGGUGAUCAAUUUUACGUGUUGACCUGGCUAUGCUAUAAUACCCAGUUAUUCAAAAACUGACCUAGGUGUUGCUAUGAAGGUAUCUUGUAAAUGUAAUUUACAUCUACAAUCAGUUAACUUUAUGUAAAGGAGAUUAUCCUGGAUAAUAUGGUUGGGUCUGAUCCACUCCGUUGAAAGCUGAGGUUUCCCUGAAGAAGGAGAAAUUCCACCAGUGGACUGCAAUGUCAGGUCUUGUCUGAGAGUUUCCAGACCUCCCUUCCACACGGCCUGCCCUGUGGAUUUUGGAUUUGCCUAGCCAGCCCCUACAACUGCAUAAACCAAUUCCUUGCAUUAAAUCUAGGUAGAUGACAGAUACAUGGAUAUGAAGACAGACAAGAUAGAAUAUAUCCUACUGGUUGUGUUUCUCUGGCGGAACUCUGACUGACACACAAAUCAUCUGAGAAAAUCUUGCAUCUCUUCAGUCAGAGCUUGUUUUUGACCCAAAAGGGAUCACCAAGCUUUCAUCAGACAUGGCCCCAAAAUGACUGGGCAAAUCUCAGGAGUUCAAAAGAUUAUUCUGAUGGAGGAGUCAGAUUAGGCAGUUACUAUCCCAAAGACACAAAAUAUGAUUCACCUGGCCAUCACCACCAAGGAAGGCAGAACCCAGGAGCCCUUAAGGGUGAGUGCUGCUGGUUAGUUUUCCUCUACUUAAGGGGCAUAAGCCUAGGCACAAAUAAGUGCUGCUACAGGCCAAUCAGUCUUUAAUGUCCAAAAGAGGCGUGGAUGCAGAGCAUAGGAGAUGUGGCAGGGU
rnacentral:lncRNA from 10 species